rnacentral:miRNA from 1 species
UGGAAGACUUGUGAUUAGAUUGUU